rnacentral:tRNA from 209 species
GCGGGCGUAGUUCAGUGGUAGAACGUCAGCUUCCCAAGCUGAAUGUCGUCGGUUCGAUCCCGAUCGCCCGCUCCA